AGAAUCAACGCUGGCGGCGUGCCUCAGACAUGCAAGUCGAACGCGAAAGUUCCCUUCGGGGGAUGAGUAGAGUGGCGCACGGGUGAGUAACACGUAGGUAAUCUACCUUUGGAUGGGGAAUAACAACCGGAAACGGUUGCUAAUACCGCAUAAUGCAGCGGCACCUAAUGGUGACAGUUGUUAAAGCGGGGGGAUCGAAAGACCUCGCGUCUGAAGAGGAGCCUGCGGCGGAUUAGCUAGUUGGUAAGGUAACGGCUUACCAAGGCUACGAUCCGUA
rnacentral:rRNA from 1 species